rnacentral:rRNA from 1 species
AUGGCUUUACAAGUUGCUAGAUUACUUUCUUCAUUUAUGUAUGUUUUAGAAGCUGUAGCACAGGCAGCAAGGUACUUGAACACCUCUCCAUGUCCCGAUGAGCUUGUUACAAGAAGCUGCUCAAGAAUUGGUGUGAACUCAGUAAACAUAAAUCACAUCAUGAAGUCAGCAUCUGAGCGUCCAGCUACAGGGGUCGGGCAAACUUUCUCUUCCAAGAUGACCACCAGUGGCAAACCUUCAAUUGAAUCACAGAUCAAAGCGUAA